GGCUGGAUGUGCUGGGCCUGACCAGCCGCCCGCUUUCCUCUUCUCUUGCCUCUGCCUGCCCCCUGGUGGACAGCUGGGGUAAAGCAUGGGAGUGCGCCUUUGGGGUCUCAGUGGGGCUGAAAUACGACUCCUCCCCUAGGACAGCCUGCCUUCCCCAGCCUUGUUCUCCGGCAAAGUCAAUUUCCUGGAGAAUCGAGGCUCUGCCUCAGAUGUUCGGAGCCUCCGCAGGAUGAACACCUCCAUUUCAAUUCCAGGGGCUUUGAUCAACCUGUGCCUCCCUUGAUCCCCAACUUGUGGGCACCUUCCCUUGAGCAGUGCCCCCACGAGGUACACCUUUCCCGGGAAACAAAAAUCAUUCCUUCUUUGGGUCCUGCAAGCUGUAAAGAACCAAUACAGCACUGUGCUACUGAACAUGUUGCCACUAUAGAAGCCCCUUGUGUUUUGAAGAGUACAUCUCUAUAGCCAUUCGUUUAUUCAUCAGAAACCAGCUAGAAGCCAGGCCCUGUGCUGGGCGCUGGAGACAUGGAAGAAACUGGGCUGAGGCUCCCGCCUUGAAGAGCUUGUGGCCCAGGGAAGGGACAGUUCAUCUGUCAUUGAUUGCCACGUGACAGUGUCUAUGAUGCUAAAAAGAUGCCAGUGCUGUGCUGCAGGAGCAAAGGCCGUGGAGGAAGAGGCUUUGGCUUUGUUGCGAGUCCUUGCCAGAGCCAGGCAAAGCCAGUCACCGCUUUGUUCAGAUGACUCAGUGUCUCCUUUUCCAGACUUCUUAGAGGACUUGGAAAGAAAAUGAAAUGACGUUGAACGAAAUCAAAGUAAAUUGAGUGAUCUGAAACGAUUUGAUGUCAGCAAGAAUUCCCCAUACAGCUCACAGCCCUACCCCGAGCACGCCUCCCUCUUGGGUAUGGUGAGUUCAGCUCCAAAUUUAUUCUGACAAGAAAGCACAGGCAAUGGCUUCAGUGGGUCUAAAUCAGGUGAAAAUUCAAAGCAAUCACCCUUCCUGGACAAUCUUCUGCUUUCUCAGUGCUUAUCAUGGUCUGAAAAUUCCUAUUUAAAGAAGCAGAGCUUUCUUUUAAGUCCUAACAGAACAAAGUCACACUCAACAGUGCACAGGCACACGCCGGGAUCGAGAAUGCAUUUUUGGCAAAAAGUCUCCUCUUUUCUCUGUCUCCUCCAGCUCUCUGCAGGCCCAAACCUUGCAGAAGCCAUUCCAUGUUUCCUGAGCAGGAAAAGACAAACUCAGACCGACAACCUUGGACUUCAAAAGACUGCACACAAGGGGAGGAAGGACUGAGAGUACCAAGGCGUGAGAAUUCAGAAUGCUGCUAUCUCAUUUAUUUUUACCAUUUAGGAAACGUUUUGAUCUGCAUUCCUUUUCCCUUCCCUGAUUUCAAAAAAUAAAAAUAAAAAUGCUUCGGUUCUGAGGAGUAACUCUCCAGAUGGAAGGGGAAGAUCAGGGGAUGAAUGGGGGAGGGCUGCUUGCGUCCUCUCCCCUGCCACACACACGCUCUCUGUUUCAGCCAGUGUAAAAAUAGCCGCCCAGGUUUAUGUAUUCA
rnacentral:lncRNA from 1 species